AUAAAGUCAUAACCUUUAGUACACACCGCCUAAAGAAACAUAUUUGAAAUUAGGUUCCAAAACCAUGAGCAAAAACUCAAUAAUAAGAUCUGACAUGGGACCAUAUCCCUAGCUAGUAUUUUACAUUAUAAAAACAAAAUCUUAAUUUUAAACUUAAUUCCCAUAUAUUCUUUAGAAAAACAAAAAAAAGAAAUGAAAUGAAAUGAAAACAAAAGCAAACAACACAAAGAAAUCAAUAAAUAAAAUAAUAAAAUUCCUAAAAUGUCUAAAAUCACCAAUAAUUACCAAUCUAUCCCAUCGCAUAGAGUCCAAACUUUUUUCUCCCACCCUACUCACAUCACCAAACACCCUUUCAAGCUCCAAUUGCAAAUUUUUUGAAUUUCAAAAUUUGAAACCCUCAUCAGUGUUAAUUGACCCAGUGUACUCUUCAAUGGUCAAAAUAUUGAUAUUAGUAAUGACGUGUUGAAACUUGCGACAUCAUAAUGGUGAUGUUUACAUAGGGACUCAAAGAUUUAAAAUUCACAGUGUUAACUAAAAAAGGUUGAGUCCCAACCUUGAGGGCUCCCACCCCCUCCCCCCCCCUCCCCGGGGCUUUGUGAAGGAAGUAAAUCGCGAAAUAUGCCCCAACAGGUCGGGGAACAAGAACUGUCUGUACACUGUGCCUACAAGGAGUCCAAUUUCAUGUCUCAAGAAUCGAACCCCCACAUUGCGGCUGCCAGCAAGGCUUGAGAUAACCUCACUCUUAUCCUUUGCACUACUGGACUAUACCCCGAGGGGCAAAUUCACAGUAUUAACUUAAUUGACAGGGGGUUGAGUUUUAUACCAUGAUUCCUAGAACUGUCAGAGGCACUCUCCUUUUGAGCAUGGUGAGUGUAUCUUUGAUAAUGGUAUUUGGAAAAGCCUACUCUUUGUCCUCAGCACUUGGAGCUACCAUGGAAGGUUUAUGUAGAAUGACUUCAAAGAUAGUAUUGUUCUCUGCUAACGCUCUGCUAAUUCAAGUGUCCUCUCAAUUGGGUGGUCUCCAUCCAGAAGAAUUUCAGGCUCCACAAUAGGCACGAGACCAUAAUAGCACCUGGCAGAGAAAGGUUUACUGCAAAUGAUAUUACAUAAUUUAUAGGUAAGCUGAAACAGAAAACUUCAUAUGUGAUAUACUUUAUCUGAAGCAAAAGAGCUUAGAAUUUAGAAUAAGGACAUUGCUAAAUUUGAUUUAAUUGUAUACGAGAUUUGAGAAUUAUACUUGGCCUGAUGUGCACCAUUAUAACAGGACUCAAAACUGUGUAGAGAUUAAAUUUGUAAAAUAUCUUUAAAGAUCCACGCAUUUUUGGAUUCACAACAUGCAACUUACAGGAGGACUAAAUGGAGAAUAAAAGGAUGGAAUGAUAUGCUGAAAAGAAUCAUUUGACGGUUUUACAAUGCAGUGACUUGCCAACUAUGAUAGUGUUCCUUCAGCAGUUCCUCAAACAAUAAUCAUGUGUCAGAAGAAGCAAUGAGAUCUAGAUGUGUAUAGGAACUUCUCCUUAAAAGAGAUUUAGAAACAAGUCUAAGAUAUGUCAACAAGUAAAUCUUCAACAUUGCAAAAACAGCAAGACAGAUCAUAAGAAUACUCUAUUCAACUUCUGAAGAAGAAAAUUGAAGUUUGGAUGAGUAAAUUCAAUGGAAAAAACCAAAUAGAACAAAUUUCAGCGUCAAUUAAAGAUGAUACUUAAGAAUGAAAUUGUAUGUACCUGUUGAUGAACAUCGGUCAUGAGAAGUCUAAAGGGUCAAUUGUAGAAACACCUUAAUGGUUGCUAAAAUAGCUGCAUCAUUCGCAUGAUGAUGUCAAAGAUUCAUUUCUAUCUGAGAAACAAUCUAAGCAACCAACUCCAGAAUAAUACAUUGUGCCAAUUCACUAAGUUUUUUAAUUCUAUACACAAUCAAGUGGAAAGUUAGAUACUUUAUUUAGGAUGAGAUAUGUCUGAGAAUGCCUCUGUAUCUAUGUGACCGUGCUUGCAAAUGGGUGUAGAUGAGAGAUAGAUUCCAAUAUGAUCUUACACGUGACCAAUUCAGUUAGAAGUCGCUAGAUAUAUUUUACUGCCAAGACUUCGAUUUUAAAAUUUGUGGAAAUUGUAUGUAUGAGCAUGUUUUGAACAUGUGAUUAACCUAUUCUUUUGGCUAUUGUUGAUGGAAACAAGGAAAGCAUUGAAUGAAACUUGAACAAUCAGAACAUGCAUCCCAUCGGAGUUACUUAAAUGUGAUUUGUUGUAGUGCUGAAAAAAUAAGCAUUUUUGUCAUAAAUUCUUUUGUAUAUCAUUUAUACCUACAGUUCAUUUUUCUAUAAUGUUUCAAGUGGCCCCUGUUCCUCCAACGAAACCAAUUCUUCUGUGUGUCAUUGAUAGUUAUAACCUACAAGUAUAAACAUAACUGAGGUGGUUAGAACCACAAAACAAAGGUAAUAAAUAAUUUGCUAAGAGAGAAAAAAACACGGAGCAAUUAUCCAGGUAGAAGUAUAUAUAAAACUGCAUAUAGCGUAUAUAAAAUUUUUAGUUGUAGUAAGCUUAUAAUUGUAGAUGAUUAUCCUUAUAUUUUCUAUUCGUCACAACAAGCUCAGAUAUUCUCAAAUGAUGGAUUUCGUUGGAGGGGAGGGAAGCUACUUAGCUUGGAUAUACAAUAGAAAGUAAUUUUCUGUCCUUAUAUUCGUAGCAAGCUCAGAUAUUCUCAAAUGUGUUUAAUAUUUUAAUUUUUCAUUUGACGCACAUAAAAAUAUAAAAAGGAAAUAAAAUUCAUCUAGAAUGUAUAAUUCACUUUAUUGAAAGAAAAAUGACCUAUAUCUAAUAGCAAAAUGAACAGUAUUUUAAAAACUUACAUAGAAGUGUUUUUCUCUGUUUGAUUUCCAUCAUCUAGCACUGUAAUCAUCCAAUUCACAGAAAAUUCUGUCACCAAUGCACAUAUUUGCGUGAUUAUUUAUGCGCUAACUUUUAUAUACAUAAAAACUAAAAAUUUAAAAGUUACAGAAAAUCAUCUAAUUCAGAGAAAUGCUAAAACCCAAUCUAAGAAUGCACUCACAAUAUAUUGUAGUUAAGUAGCCAUUGAAUUUUACACGCAUAUAUUAUUGGUUUAGAAGAAUUAGAGAAAUAUAGAUUUAGCUAAAUUCUUGUUCUCUCCCUCUCUUUUUUUCCCCCCUAAACCUGUAGGUGUAUUUCGUUAGCAAUAGAGAAUCAAGCUAUCUGUGCGUGUAUCCCUAGCAUUCAGAUAUCUAACAUAUACAUUUUUUUAACAUAUACAAAGUCCAUACAGGAUUGAAAAAAUAAAGAACAAAAAAUACACACGCGUAGUGAGUAGAGCAGAACCAAGAGAGAUGUCAACAUGAAGAGACGGUACGUUGGAAGGGAUGUUUAUAAGGAGGAAUCUACAAAUCUCCUAUGCAAAUGCGAGCACCAAUAAAGGCCACCAGAACGGCAUCAUAUCUGAAUGAAAGAACUAUUUACCCCAUAAACGAAAACCAGAAUGAUAAAGAAAACUAUAAUGAACACUUUAAAUGCAAUUGCUGGAAUGAAAAUUAAAAAUAAAAUAAAAUGAAAAGUGAUCAUGAAAUAUACUUUACACAUUUUUCUAUGAUGUGUUUAACCCUGUAUAUGAAGUUAUCCCUUUCUUAAGUAAGGAAAAUUGGAUUUAUAGGAAAAUUAAUUUCAACAAGAAACAGUGUUUAGUUAUAUUUCAUGAAAAUUUUGUACCUUAUAUCAGAAAUAGAACGAUCGACAGUAUUAAUAAUAAUUAUCAAAUAACUAAUGAACUCUUGAAUAAUGACACUUGAUUUUCAGUAGCAAGAGAUUCCGCAACCCAACCUAUAAAAAGUUUAUCUAAAUUUGAAUUCCACGAAACUGGACACCUUUUUUAGGGUAUAUAAAAAAGCUUUUAAACUAAUCAAAUGGACGAUAUCAAGCAAUGAUAAUUUUGCCCUUAUGUUGCAAUUGGGCAAAUAUUAACUAUCCUACAAGCACCAAAUUAAACAUUUGCACAAGCUACGACCAGACUUAACUGUAAAUAAGUGGGUUUCAAUUAAACUCAUACAAAUUAUUAUUUUCAACUAUAGAUAAUUAAAUAUGUAAUCUUAAAGUUGUAAAACUCUCCACGAACAGGAGUCAACCGAAGGUGCGAGUAACUCUUAAUAGCUUUUAGUGAAGCAAUCCUAAUGAGCAACAUUUUAAUGAGGUCCUUGUACAGGCCAGCCUUGAGUGUGUAUAUAUAUAUAUAUAUAUAUA
rnacentral:lncRNA from 1 species